GACGAACGCUGGCGGCGUGCUUAACACAUGCAAGUCGAACGGAAAGGCCCUGCUUUUGUGGGGUGCUCGAGUGGCGAACGGGUGAGUAACACGUGAGUAACCUGCCCUUGACUUUGGGAUAACUUCAGGAAACUGGGGCUAAUACCGGAUAGGAGCUCCUGCUGCAUGGUGGGGGUUGGAAAGUUUCGGCGGUUGGGGAUGGACUCGCGGCUUAUCAGCUUGUUGGUGGGGUAGUGGCUUACCAAGGCUUUGACGGGUAGCCGGCCUGAGAGGGUGACCGGCCACAUUGGGACUGAGGUACGGCCCAGACUUCUACGGGAGGCAACAGGGGGGAAUAUUGCACAAUGGGCGGAAGCCUGAUGCAGCAACGCCGCGGGCGGGAUGACGGCCUUCGGGUUGGAAACCGCUUUCGCCUGUGACGAAGCGGGAGUGACGGUAAUGGGUAAAGAAGCACCGGCUAACUACGUG
rnacentral:rRNA from 1 species